GACGAACGCUGGCGGCGUGCUUAACACAUGCAAGUCGAACGGAAAGGCCCUGCUUUUGUGGGGCGCUCGAGUGCCGAACGGGUGAGUAACACGUGUGUAACCUGCCCUUGUCUUUGGGAUAACUUCACGAAACUGGGGCUCAUACCGGAUAGGAGCUCCUGCUGCAUGGUGGGGGUUGGAAAGUUUCGGCGGUUGGGGAUGGACUCGCGGCUUAUCAGCUUGUUGGUGGGGUAGUGGCUUACCAAGGGUUUGACGGGUAGCCGGCCUGAGAGGGUGACCGGCCACAUUGGGACUGAGAGACGGCCCAGACUCCUACGGGAGGCAGCAGUGGGGAAUAUUGCAGAAUGGGCGGAAGCCUGAUGCAGCAACGCCGCGUGCGGGAUAACGGCCUUCGGGUUGUAAACCGCUUUCGCCUGUGACGAAGCGUGAGUGACGGUAAUGGGUAAAGAAGCAACGGCUAACUACGUG
rnacentral:rRNA from 1 species